rnacentral:rRNA from 1 species
UAACUUUCAACGAGUCGGAUUGUUUGGGAAUGCAGUCCAAAAUGGGUGGUAAAUUUCAUCUAAAGCUAAAUAUUGGCGAGAGACCGAUAGCGAACAAGUACCGUGAGGGAAAGAUGAAAAGAACUUUGAAAAGAGAGUUAAACAGUACGUGAAAUUGUCAAAAGGGAAGCGUUUGACACCAGUGUUGUUUUUCCGAAAAUCAAUUACGAAUGUUUUGUUUUUGAGGAGUUAUGACUUCAUCGGCUUGCUCCUUUCUUUAUGAAACUUUCUUAAUGCACUUUUCGGUUAACAAGUCAACAUCAAUUUCUUUUGUUGUAAAAGGGUAUGAGGAAGGUGGCUUUCUUUUCGGAGAAAGUGUUUAUAGCCUUGUGCCUCUGCAAUCGGAGAGAUUGAGGUCUGCAGCGUAGAUCCUUCGGGGUUAGAUACAUUUGUGCUAAGUUAUAGCUUUUCAUAGACAACUUGUUGACUAUGUUUAGUCUUGUAGCUUACUCGCUUAUGUCA